rnacentral:tRNA from 1 species
GCGUUCAUAGCUCAGUUGGUUAGAGCACCACCUUGACAUGGUGGGGGUCGUUGGUUCGAGUCCAAUUGAACGCAGCA